ensembl:misc_RNA Metazoa_SRP Metazoan signal recognition particle RNA
GCUGGGUGUGAUGGCUCACGCCUGUAAUCCUAGCACUUUGGGAGGCUGAGGUGGGUGGAUCACCUGAGGUCAGGAGUUUGAGACCAACCUGGCCAACAUGGUGAAACCUCACUUCUA